AACGAACGCUGGCGGCGCGCUUAACACAUGCAAGUCGAACGAGAAGGCGUAGCAAUACGCUUGUACAGUGGCGAACGGGUGAGUAAUACGUGGGCGACCUACCCUCGAGUGGGGAAUAACCCGCCGAAAGGCGGGCUAAUGCCGCGUACGCUUCCAUCUUUAUGGAGGUGGAAGGAAAGCCGUGCCGUGGGCACGGCGCUCAAGGAUGGGCUCACGUCCUAUCAGCUUGUUGGUAGGGGAACGGCCUACCAAGGCUCCGACGGGUAGCUGGUCUGAGAGGACGAUCAGCCACACUGGCACUGCGACACGGGCCAGACUCCUACGGGAGGCAGCAGUGAGGAAUAUUGCGCAAUGGGCGAAAGCCUGACGCAGCGACGCCGCGUGGGGGAGUGAAGGUC
rnacentral:rRNA from 1 species